rnacentral:rRNA from 1 species
UACAGAGGUCUCAAGCGUUGUUCGGAUUCAUUGGGCGUAAAGGGUGCGUAGGCGGCGAGGCAAGUCUGGUGUGAAAUCCCGGGGCUCAACUCCGGAACUGCACUGGAUACUGCUUUGCUAGAGUACUGGAGAGGGAACUGGAAUUUACGGUGUAGCAGUGGAAUGCGUAGAUAUCGUAAGGAAGACCAGCGGCGAAGGCGAGUUCCUGGACAGUAACUGACGCUGAGGCACGAAGGCCAGGGGAGCAAACGGG